rnacentral:tRNA from 1 species
GGUGAAAUGGCUGAUAAAAGCAAUAAACUGUAAAUUUAUGCAUGAAUUUUAAUUCUUUCACCA